GCCUUAGUAGCGGCGAGUGAAGCGGCAAAAGCUCAAAUUUGAAAUCUGGCUCUUUCAGAGUCCGAGUUGUAAUUUGAAGAAGGUAUCUUUGGGUCUGGCUCUUGUCUAUGUUUCUUGGAACAGAACGUCACAGAGGGUGAGAAUCCCGUGCGAUGAGAUGAUCCAGGCCUAUGUAAAGUUCCUUCGAAGAGUCGAGUUGUUUGGGAAUGCAGCUCUAAGUGGGUGGUAAAUUCCAUCUAAAGCUAAAUAUUGGCGAGAGACCGAUAGCGAACAAGUACAGUGAUGGAAAGAUGAAAAGAACUUUGAAAAGAGAGUGAAAAAGUACGUGAAAUUGUUGAAAGGGAAGGGCUUGAGAUCAGACUUGGUAUUUUGUAUGUUACUUCUUCGGGGGUGGCCUCUACAGUUUAUCGGGCCAGCAUCAGUUUGGGCGGUAGGAGAAUUGCGUUGGAAUGUGGCACGGCUUCGGUUGUGUGUUAUAGCCUUCGUCGAUACUGCCAGCCUAGACUGAGGACUGCGGUUUAUACCUAGGAUGUUGGCAUAAUGAUCUUAAGUCGCCCGUCUUGAAACACGGACCA
rnacentral:rRNA from 1 species